rnacentral:lncRNA from 1 species
CUCAGGUCCUGCAGAUGGGCGGGAUGUGCUCGGAAAGGCCAAACGACGCAAUUAGAGCGGUUAAAAAUUAAUGGUGGUGGAGAUUAGGAGGAGACAGGAAAGGGAGAAAUACCUGCUCCAGAAAGAACCAGGAAUUCUGUUUGUUUUGAUUGACGUGGAAAUUAGAGACGGAACAGAUGGAGCGAGGGUACAGCAGGAUGAGCCGAGCCGAGGCUCUGACACUCUAAUGAGGGAUGAGGAGGCAGGAGCUGCUGAUUGGGUUCUUCUUUGGAGCCUAAUUUGUGUUUUAUUUGCCCUGAUGCUACUGCCAACAGCAACAGACUCCUAACCAGGCUGGCCCUGGACCCCUGGAAGUGCCCAAGCCACCAAACUCUUAAACAGAGUUUUUCUGAUGGGACCUCCGUGGGGAAGGUGAUGGGGCCUUGGAAAAGAAAACUAAAAUCAAGUUCUUACAAGGAAACUCCUGUCACUGUCCCAGCCUCAGCAGAAAGGUGGGAAUUUGCUGAGUGGUGAAAUACAGAAAUGUUGGUCCUGGCUUUGCUGCUACGUUUUCCAGGGGGAUUCACCCAGAGCUGGAUGAAUCAUGGAAUCAUUAAGGUUGGGAAAGACUUUUAAGAUCUCUGGAAUUGUUCAAGGUUGGAUGCCUUUGGAGCAACCUGGCAGAGCGGGAGCUGCCCUUGCCCAUGGCAGAGGGUGGAACUUGGA